GACGAACCGUGCAAACGUUGUUCGGAAUCACUGGGCUUAAAGGGCGCGUAGGCGGGUCGAUCACGUCCGGGGUGAAAUCUUUCGGCUUAACCGGAAAAGGGCCGUUGGAUACGGAUCGGCUGGAGGGAGGUAGGGGCAGGUGGAACUUCCAGUGGAGCGGUGAAAUGCGUUGAUAUUGGAAGGAACGCCGGUGGCGAAAGCGACCUGGACAGUAACUGACGCUGAGACGCGAAAGCGUGGGUAGCAAACAGG
rnacentral:rRNA from 1 species